AUUUACAGCAAAGGGCUAUGAAGAAGCAGAAAUUUUCGGAAGAUUUUGUGCAGAUAUUUCAUUAAAGCUUUGCCAGGAUAUGCUUCUUUGUCAUAUAUAUUUUAACGUUUGAAUAAUGGCUGCACACCCAAAUUAUACAUGAAACAAAACCAUGGGCUGUCUUCUGACCCAGAAUUAAAUUCCCUCAGCCAUUAUGCUAGCAGUUUCUUGAUGACGACGGUGAUACAUAAUGCUAGUGGAAAAUGGUGGCCUUUUGGAUAUUGAUGAGCAAGAAGUCAGCAUCAAAAUCUGGUGUGCGUUUAAUUAAAAAAUGAUCUUUGCUUGUAUAUCUUCCUUUGGGUUGGGGGCAGUUAGGCUGCUUUGUUCCGGUCAGAGAAUCAUAUGUUGCAUGAUUCCUUAACAAGUUAGGCAGGAUAAUUAGUAGAAUUAAUCAUGAGAAAUGGGAAAUUUGAAUGCAAAAGAGUUGAAAACCGUUGAAGCUCUAACUUUUUAUUAGAGAGAGAGAUUGCACCAAGCAAAAGUGGG
rnacentral:misc_RNA from 1 species